rnacentral:misc_RNA from 1 species
UCUCCGUUGGUGAACCCGCGGAGGGAUCAUUACCGAGUUUACAACUACCAAACCUAAUGUGAACGUUACCAAACUGGUGCCUCGGCGGGGGCACGCACCGGGUGAGUCGCAGACACGGAACCAGGCGCCCGAAGGAGGAACAAACCAAAACCUUUCUGUAGACCCCUUGCGGACGAUAACUCUUACAGCCUUGAGCAAAAAUUCAAAAAGAACCAAAACAUUCAACAACGGAUAUCUUGGGUUUGGGAACGAUGAAGAACGAAGGAAAUCUGAAGAGAC